rnacentral:rRNA from 1 species
UACGAAGGGGGCUAGCGUUGUUCGGAAUUACUGGGCGUAAAGCGCACGUAGGCGGAUACUUAAGUUAGGGGUGAAAUCCCAGAGCUCAACUCUGGAACUGCCUUUAAUACUGGGUAUCUCGAGUCCGGAAGAGGUGAGUGGAAUUCCGAGUGUAGAGGUGAAAUUCGUAGAUAUUCGGAGGAACACCAGUGGCGAAGGCGGCUCACUGGUCCGGUACUGACGCUGAGGUGCGAAAGCGUGGGGAGCGAACAGG